AGAAUCAACGCUGGCGGCGUGCCUAACACAUGCAAGUCGAACGAGAAAGUGGAGCAAUCCAUGAGUAAAGUGGCGCACGGGUGAGUAGCACGUGACUAACCUACCCUCGAGUGGGGAAUAACUUCGGGAAACCGAGGCUAAUACCGCAUAAAACCUAAGGGUCAAAGGAGCAAUCCGUUUGAGGAGGGGGUCGCGGCAGAUUAGUUAGUUGGCGGGGUAAUGGCCCACCAAGACGAUGAUCUGUAUCCGGCCUGAGAGGGCGCACGGACACACCUGGAACUGAAACACGGUCCAGACUCCUACGGGAGGCAGCAGUGGGGAAUUUUGCGCAAUGGGGGAAACCCUGACGCAGCAACGCCGCGUGGAGGAUGAAAUCCCUUGGGAUGGUAAACUCCUUUCGAUCGGGAAGAUAAUGACGGUACCGGAAGAAGAAGCCCGGCUAACUUCGCGCCAGCAGCCGC
rnacentral:rRNA from 1 species